ACUUAAAUAGCUUAAGUUAAAGCGUAAUAUUGAAGAUAUUAAUAUAAGUGAAUAUUACUUUUUAAGUA
rnacentral:tRNA from 1 species